rnacentral:misc_RNA from 1 species
GAUGAAGAACGUAGCGAAAUGCGAUAAGUAAUGUGAAUUGCAGAAUUCAGUGAAUCAUCGAAUCUUUGAACGCACAUUGCGCCCAUUAGUAUUCUAGUGGGCAUGCCUGUUCGAGCGUCAUUAAGUCCACUUAAGCCCUGCUUAGUGUUGGGAGACUGCUCCAGCGGUGCUACCCUGUAGCUACCCUGCAGCUCCUCAAAGACAGCGGCGGAGUUGUGGUAUCCUCUGAGCUUAGUAACUUGUCCUAGCUUUCGAGUACACCACUUCCCCUGCCGUAAAACCCUUAAUUUUUAAUGGUUGACCUCGGAUCAGGUAGGAAUACCCGCUGAACUUAAGCAUAUCAAUAAGCGGAGGA